rnacentral:rRNA from 1 species
AUUGAACGCUGGCGGCAUGCCUUACACAUGCAAGUCGAACGGCAGCACGGGGCAACCUGGUGGCGAGUGGCGAACGGGUGAGUAAUGCAUCGGAACGUACCUUUCAGUGGGGGAUAACGUAGCGAAAGUUACGCUAAUACCGCAUAUUCUGUGAGCAGGAAAGCAGGGGAUCGCAAGACCUUGCGCUGAUUGAGCGGCCGAUGUCAGAUUAGCUAGUUGGUGAGGUAAAGGCUCACCAAGGCGACGAUCUGUAGCGGGUCUGAGAGGAUGAUCCGCCACACUGGAACUGAGCCACGGUCCAGACUCCUACGGGAGGCAGCAGUGGGGAAUUUUGGACAAUGGGGGCAACCCUGAUCCAGCCAUGCCGCGUGAGUGAAGAAGGCCUUCGGGUUGUAAAGCUCUUUCGGCCGGGAAGAAAUCGCACGGGCUAAUACCCUGUGUGGAUGACGGUACCGGAAUAAGAAGCACCGGCUAACUACGUGCCAGCUGCCGCAGUAAGAC